rnacentral:rRNA from 1 species
UACGUAGGGUGCGAGCGUUGUCCGGAAUUAUUGGCGUAAAGAGCUCGUAGGCGGUUUGUUGCGUCUAUCGUGAAAACCUGCAGCUUAACUGUGGGCUUGCGGUGGAUACGGGCAGACUUGAGUUCGGUAGGGGAGACUGGAAUUCCUGGUGUAGCGGUGAAAUGCGCAGAUAUCAGGAGGAACACCGGUGGCGAAGGCGGGUCUCUGGGCCGAUACUGACGCUGAGGAGCGAAAGCGUGGGGAGCGAACAGG